UUAAAUUGAAGAGUUUGAUCAUGGCUCAGAUUGAACGCUGGCGGCAGGCCUAACACAUGCAAGUCGAACGGUAACAGGAAGCAGCUUGCUGUUUCGCUGACGA
rnacentral:rRNA from 1 species